AAUUUUAUUCAAUUCUUUUAUUUGUUACAAUAAAUAAAUAAAAAAUAAAAAAACAUAAGCGUUGAAUUAAAAUCUUUCAAAUUCAACCAACUCUUUUUAUUGAAUAGCCUCCUUUAACAUAGGCUAGUCUCUAGCUAGAUGGCUACGGGAGGGCCUGGUCUAAUUUGUUUUCGAGACAGGACUAUGAACAUGACCACCUCGUUGUGGUUGAUUCACAAACUUCCACCAGACUCCUAGAGCUUGUAUUCC
rnacentral:lncRNA from 1 species